rnacentral:rRNA from 1 species
CCUACGGGAGGCAGCAGUAAGGAAUAUUGGUCAAUGGACGCAAGUCUGAACCAGCCAUGCCGCGUGAAGGAUGAAUGCCCUCUGGGUUGUAAACUUCUUUUAUAGGGGACGAAAAAGGGUCUUUUUAGAUCAACUGACGGUACCCUAGGAAUAAGCACCGGCUAACUCCGUGCCAGCAGCCGCGGUAAUACGGAGGGUGCAAGCGUUAUCCGGAUUUACUGGGUUUAAAGGGUGCGUAGGUGGGUUGGUAAGUCAGCGGUGAAAUCUUCGAGCUUAACUCGGAAACUGCCAUUGAUACUAUCAGCCUUGAAUAUCCUGGAGGUGAGCGGAAUAUGUCAUGUAGCGGUGAAAUGCUUAGAUAUGACAUAGAACACCAAUUGCGAAGGCAGCUCACUACGGGAUUAUUGACACUGAGGCACGAAAGCGUGGGGAUCGAAACAGGAUUAGAUACCCUGGUAGUCCACGCCCUAAACGAUGGAUACUCGACAUUUGCGAUAUACAGUAAGUGUCUGAGCGAAAGCAUUAAGUAUCCACCUGGAAGUACGAUCGCAGAUUGAAACUCAAAUGAAUUGACGG